AAAUAAGAAGCGAAAUAUUGCAUUCAGUUUCGACCUGAAAAUUGACAAAUUACAAUGUCCUUAUUUA
rnacentral:tRNA from 1 species